rnacentral:rRNA from 1 species
GAAUGAGUGGAGCUUGCUCCAUGAUUCAGCGGCGGACGGGUGAGUAAUGCCUAGGAAUCUGCCUGGUAGUGGGGGACAACGUUUCGAAAGGAACGCUAAUACCGCAUACGUCCUACGGGAGAAAGUGGGGGAUCUUCGGACCUCACGCUAUCAGAUGAGCCUAGGUCGGAUUAGCUAGUUGGUGAGGUAAAGGCUCACCAAGGCGACGAUCCGUAACUGGUCUGAGAGGAUGAUCAGUCACACUGGAACUGAGACACGGUCCAGACUCCUACGGGAGGCAGCAGUGGGGAAUAUUGGACAAUGGGCGAAAGCCUGAUCCAGCCAUGCCGCGUGUGUGAAGAAGGUCUUCGGAUUGUAAAGCACUUUAAGUUGGGAGGAAGGGCAGUAAGUUAAUACCUUGCUGUUUUGACGUUACCAACAGAAUAAGCACCGGCUAACUUCGUGCCAGCAGCCGCGGUAAUACGAAGGGUGCAAGCGUUAAUCGGAAUUACUGGGCGUAAAGCGCG